rnacentral:rRNA from 1 species
UACGGGAGGCAGCAGUAGGGAAUCUUCCGCAAUGGACGAAAGUCUGACGGAGCAACGCCGCGUGAACGAUGAAGGCUUUCGGGUCGUAAAGUUCUGUUGUUAGGGAGAACAAGUACCGGAGUAACUGCCGGUACCUUGACGGUACCUAACCAGAAAGCCACGGCUAACUACGUGCCAGCAGCCGCGGUAAUACGUAGGUGGCAAGCGUUGUCCGGAAUUAUUGGGCGUAAAGCGCGCGCAGGCGGUCCUUUUAAGUCUGAUGUGAAAGCCCACGGCUCAACCGUGGAGGGUCAUUGGAAACUGGGGGACUUGAGUGCAGAAGAGGAGAGUGGAAUUCCACGUGUAGCGGUGAAAUGCGUAGAGAUGUGGAGGAACACCAGUGGCGAAGGCGACUCUCUGGUCUGUAACUGACGCUGAGGCGCGAAAGCGUGGGGAGCGAACAGGGAUUAGAUACC